rnacentral:rRNA from 1 species
GACGAACGCUGGCGGCGUGCCUAAUACAUGCAAGUCGAACGCAGUGGGGACGGGUGAGUAACACGUGGGUAACCUCCCAUCAGAGGGGAUAACACUUGGAAACAGGUGCUAAACCGAUACUGAUGGAUGGACCCGCGGUGCAUUAGCUAGUUGGUGAGGUAACGGCUCACCAAGGCCACGAUGCAUAGCCGACCUGAGAGGGUGAUCGGCCACACUGGGACUGAGACACGGCCCAGACUCCUACGGGAGGCAGCAGUAGGGAAUCUUCGGCAAUGGACGAAAGUCUGACCGAGCAACGCCGCGUGAGUGAAGAAGGUCUUCGGAUUGUAAAGUACUUUUGUCGGGGAGGCGGUAUCUAAAGAAAAAGCCCCGGCUAACUCCGUGCCAGCAGCCGCGGUAAUAC